GGUCAAAGGAGUUGCAUCACAAUGGCGCUAACAUAAUAGUCAAUAAAAUCAAAUACAGUAUGAGAAACGCUCAAAUGUAAAACCAGGUCAUGUCUAAAGGUCGCACGUUGGUCACUGCAAACCUCCACAAUAUUAUAAUUCAGAUGUCAAUAAGCACUUUUAGCCCUCUUGGAUUUCAUUUUUGUGCCUGACUAAAAAUAAGCAAACAGUAGAGCUUCAGGAGAGAUUCAGCACAAGUUUGAGUGUUUGUCAGAGGACCCCCCCUCUUCCUCACAUCCACUGCCAGUCAAGAACAUAAAGCCUGAGCGUAAAGCGUCUCACAUGGGCCCUUGAGGACCUGUUGGAACAAGCCUGAGCUGCAACAAAGAGCAUCCUGCAGCGUCUGACAAAACCAGGCCUACCUAACCUCGGACACAACCGCGGACCGGCCCAAUUGUGAGCAAGCUCUUCUUUGUGUUCCUUUCCAUCUUCCACACAUUCCUGUUCACGGAUGUUCAACCUCAGUGUAAAAGUUUUACGGCGGACUAAUAAGGAAUGUCGGAAUUCCCUCAGUACGUUUGAUGUGAUCAAAACCUGUUUUCUCACAAAGGCAUAAUCGGUUCUAAGUGGCGUGCCGAAUGGAGAGCUAUCGGCGUGAAGAAGCGAAGGGAACGGUCAUUAUUAACAGUGGCAAAGACUCAACACCUGCGAGUGAAGAAAAACAAGAUCCUACGGUGCAUAUCUACAGUCCCGUUUCUCAGGAGACGGUAAAUAAAUUGACGCAACGGAGCUUUAUGGCCAGGCAACCUUAAUCCAAUCCUAAAUGCUAAAAAAUGCAUGAUGAAAAGAAACACAGAUUUCUAUACUUCGUUAAAGGGUACCAGAAA